CGUUACCUUCGUCUUUUCUACAUUUACCAACACCGACGACGAGUUUCCCUACACGUCCGCGACGUUUCUCCACCACCAAAUCUAUCCCUCCUUUCAUUCCAAUUCUCUGCCACCCCUUUGCCCCACAGUUUGGCCGACCGGUGGGGCUCUCUUUCCUUCGCGUAUCCUACGUUUCCUUCUCUAGUUCUCCUUCAAGUUUCACCCAACUUUCCCGAGCCCUUUUCCCCACCCCCGCUACGGACAACGUCGACGCUGCCGCGACGACAUACGGUGUAUCCUCCGUUCCCUUCUAACCACCGCGCUUCGAUAUUUUCUAUCUUUAUUCUCUUUUCGCCCGCUAACUUGCCCGCGAGCUCGCGAGCUCUCUGCACCGCUUCCUCCCUCUGAACGGGGGAAUGCGCGUUACAGCCUGAAACGCGCUCGCACGAGUAUUUGUUAACGCUGCGACGAUACAGUGGGACAGAAUUCGCUCGCAACGCGAUAAAAAUAAUCGAACCGUUUCGGUGGGAACGGGGGAAAAUCUUCGACGAGUGGUCUCCUCGAUAUCUCUGCGCGAUACGCGAUCGCUCUCGUUCUUUCAUAUCCUUGGCGUGUCGCAGCGGUGUCCCGAUGUAGCAUUUCGAAGGGUCUGUGGACUCUCAGAGGCUCUUGAAUUCAACCAAAAAAGUGAAUGUUGUAACAUAUUAUAGCAGAGCACAUUACAAAAUAGGGGUUGAAAAGAGGAUAACCUGUUUAUUUAAAACAGGUGAAUCUUCGCGAUCCUUGAUUGUGUCUGAUAGUUCGAUCAACCCAGGCCACGCAUAAACGGAACGAAGUUGGGAAACCGAUAAAACGAUCGCGUCGAGGGCCGAUUCGAGAUUGUGUAAGAGCAAUCAGUUUGCUUCUUUGGUGCUAUUUCCACUGCGGGAAUCUUUUCGCAAUUUCCUAAAUCGAAACGCUUGGGGAAACAUUGCGAGGAUACCACGGUCGAUGUAAUUUUGCCUCGUCCGUGCCGCUGCUGCGCGUCUGGCACUCGUAAAGCGAGAAAUAUAGAUUUUACUUUCAGGCAGUAGGUCGAGACGCGUCAGAUCAGACGUUAGCGGAACUAUGACAGUGAUUUAUCAGGCGCGAGUUCAGCGGUAAAGCGCGCGAUGAGCGUAAAUUUUGCGACCAUGUAACGAAUUAAAUACGCCCAGCCGUGGGAUCAACUGCGAGUGCCCGUUAUUGACGUUGACAUGGUUUCCAGUAACGCGAUACCCCGGGUAAACCAAGAUCGCAUUGUAUACAUCGGAUAGUGAAUUUGUAUACUAUUAUCGUAAUUCGAUAUACGAUAGAGAAUCGUUUCGAAUUUCAUGUUUUUGGUAAUCAGUUUAGUAAUGAAAUUUGUGAUUUGCUGUUGCGAAAUGAGUUGUAAAAAGACACCAACAGUUUUUAGGUCCCCAUUGGGGAUGUUUAAUUAAUAUGUAAUGUAAAAUUUCGUACAAUAGACAAAGUAGACAAAAUUCGAAAAAAAAAACAAUGAAAGCUUUCAUAAAGGUAGCUGACGAUUCUAAAAAUUCUAGGGAGCGGUGUGCCUUCCGUGCGAAAAGACUUUUACGUGCGAGCCAUAAUGUAGCAAACCUAGUAUGCUCAACCAACUGCGUCGAACGAGAAAACCUCUAUUGUAGUGCAUGCCUUAAGCAGCGGCACGCUUCGAUGGGGAUGGAAGGGAGUUGAAAACGGAUGUGCGCGUGGCCGGACGUCGUGACGCCUGCGUCAAUCUGCGAUUCAUUGCCCUGGCAACGGCGACGCUUACCGUUCGUGCCUUUUUCUCUUUCUCGCUAAGCUCAAUCGUCGUUUCACUUAUCUCUUUCGACAUACGGAUAUUCCCAUUUUCCGCUCCUCGUGACUUCUAUCUCUUUCCCACCCGUCCCGCGUUUCCUUCUUAUCCCCACGUCACGGGAACACACCAUUGAGGUUUACCUUCCACGACGUAACAAGUGGAUAUUGUCAUUUCCUAUACGAUCAUUUUCCUUCUUUAGGUACCUUUAGACGUUUUCGUGAGGCCCAUGCUUUCUUCUAUUCAAACUGAAGGAGAUGGUUUGGCAUUUUUUAACUUUCGUUCCAUUUUUUGUUUCGACGUUUGUUUCCAAGUUUCGUUUUCGGACUGUUAAGCCAACCGGUAGAGAAAACGGAACAGAGUUGGGAGCGAAAAACAUAUACCUAUUAAUCUACGCAUCCCAUUUUAUGUAACUGCACAAUCGGUUUGCUGUUACUAUUUUUGUCACACAAAAAUACUCUAUUGAUUGGCCUGUGUGGAAAAUGAAUAAACUGAACAUCGAGAUCAAGCAACGGAUACAAAGAUGAUCAUUUCGCUAUUAAAUUACGCGAAUAAAAUCUACUAAACUAAAAGUUACGAAAAGCUCUCGCAUAUUUCAUGGGCGGACCUCUACGCUGCUUGGUAAGUGACGCGUGACCGAAAGGAAAAGAGAAGUUUCCCCUAGUCUGCCUAACCCAAACCGUGUUCAGUGUUUUAUCGACGAAAAAGCGAGACUCAGAAAAACACAUAACUUGCGCUUUAGAGUAUAGCGAGUGCUUCUUUGGAGGAAAUUGAUUUUUAUCAUUCGGGACGUACGCGUGCUAUUCGAGCACGAAACGUCUGGCGUGUCUGACCAUUGCUACCCGUUUCUACUUAGCGCGAUAUUCGUGGCACUGUUCGCUUCAACUGGUUCUAUAUAAAUCGGGUAUGUUGGGUAUUAACUGGUUAAUUAUAAAUUGGGUAUUCUCUUGGCGUUCUACUGUUACCUGCGUACUGUAAUCGUUGAAUUAUGUAAUUAUAAAUUCUUUGAAUAUUUAUGUUAAUGAAUUCACGUGUGAAAUGAAAACGAAUUAUGAGAGGAAGAGACGCGUGAAAAUCAUUGCUAUAUUCAACAAUUUUUUUUUUU